UGAUCCACCUUAGAGUACAGAAUUGCUGAGCCAAUUUAGUUAAGCUUCUAAACUUCUCAAGUUGACACAUCAACCAGCCACUAGAAUGAGUUUGGGAAAACCAUUGCCUUUUCAUUCCUGCUGUUGGAAGAAUGGAGUCUGAAGGAAAUGCUGUAUGGCUGAAAGAAGGUACCACAGCACUCAUCACUUCACCACUGUCUUGCCAGUCUUCUCAGUGGUUUUGGCCUCAGCCUGAGGUCCUCACACACCACCUCAAGUCAAGGCAAGUGUCUGCCUAGCCACUCUUGCUGUGCACAGUUGAGGAAAAUGCUCCUGUCAAGUGCAGGAGAAGGCUUUGCCUCUUACUUUAAAAAGAACUGUUAGGUAGGAGUCCCACACUGCCUCUUACUACUUUCUCUUUCCAUCUUCACUCACUGCCAUUUUUAUCUUUUUCUAGCUGACAUGGAGGAAGAGGAGGAACUCCCGUGUUUCUCCCUGAGACCAGGAAGCAUCAAUCUUCCGCUCUCCCAUGUGGCAAAAAGAGAUCCAGAUCAGAAAUGGAAACCAUGAAUUAAGGGAAAAUAAAGCUGUCCCUUUAGCCUAAGUCCCAUUCUAGUUUGGGGAAGCUGAGGUGCCUGCUGUCUUGGAUCAGCUACCAAGAGAUGACCAUUACCCGGGAGAAAAUAAACUUUGUUCUUGUAACAAUCA